rnacentral:rRNA from 1 species
UACCAGCACCCCGAGUGGUAGGGGCGUUUAUUGGGCCUAAAGCGUCCGUAGCCGGUUCUACAAGUCUUCCGUUAAAUCCACCUGCUUAACAGAUGGGCUGCGGAAGAUACUAUGGAGCUAGGAGGCGGGAGAGGCAAGCGGUACUCGAUGGGUAGGGGUAAAAUCCGUUGAUCCAUUGAAGACCACCAGUGGCGAAGGCGGCUUGCCAGAACGCGCUCGACGGUGAGGGAUGAAAGCUGGGGGAGCAAACCGG